GUUUCAGCAUGUGGUGAUCUGACUUUACCACAUGAUGCAGGGCUCUGCAUUGAUAAAAUUCAUGGACCUGUAUAUCAGCACCACAGUACAUGAGGCUUCUGGAACUGGCAGCAUGAAAUUUCUCAUGGAUGGAUGUUUAAUGUUAGCUACAAAAGAUGGGUCUACAAUUGAAAUUAUUGAAGAAAUAGGGGCAGGGAAUUUGUGGAAAGCUCAUGUAGAACCAAUUUACACGUCUUCCUUUGUUCCCA